GCAUUUUCCCAGAGGACUUUGUGCCCAGAGGAAGAAAGGUUAGAACUCCUGGCAGGUCACGAGUCUCUCUCUCUUUGUUCACGGCAGAGAAGUGCAUGGUCCUCCUGAAGUCAAGAGAAUGGCAAGACACACCGGGCAGUGGUGUCUCUGAUGUGCAACUGCUACAUGAUGGCGGUCAAACGUACAUGUUGGUGGAUCAUCUCAAAUUGUAGAACUUACUGAGGUGUUCUACUUGGGCUCUAUAUCACACACUGGCCACAUGGAUGAGGUCUACAAAUGAAAAAAACUCUUCAGACCCCAAGAAGAAUAAAAGCAGGAGAGAAUCUGUGAUAGGUGAGAGAGAAGUGCACUUUGAAGCAGGGGACGCCCUGCUGGCACUGCCUAUUGCAUCCACCGCCAAUAUGUUCCUUCUCUUUCCUUUUCUGCAAUUUGCCAUUUCUCAAGGGUCAAUAAGUAAUAAUGCACUAGCUUAGGGAGUUUCUGCUUCUCGCUUACAGAAUUGUCUAAAAUGGAUGCCUACGUGUGUGUGUGUGCGUGAGUGUGUGUAUGUUGACUAAGACUCAUAAUCCUCUGUGCUGCUCUGAAUGCAUAGUUCGCUUGCAUCUCUGCUCAUAUGAUAUCCUGUCUCUCAGAUCCAAAUUUAUAUUGAAAAAGUACUGCUCAACUCUAGCCACAUUCACCAAGUUAAAUUGUUAGCCAGCUAAAAAAAGUAAUGCCCCUAGUGAUACUCCAGCACUAAUUUUGAUUUUAUCUGACAUGCAACUUCAUAAAGUUGUGCAAGCAUUAAUUUUCUAUUAGCCCAAAGGCAUGGUUGUGAGCACUCUAAAAGCUUUUAUUGUACAAAUUUUAGUGAUCAUUCAAAAUCAAUAUAUCAGAGUAUAUGAAAGUUGAAGUCUUUUUCUAACCAGUUAUAGAUUAACAUAGAAUGGGACCCUCAGGGAUUCUUUUCCAGGUUGCAGAAACAGGCUGCAGGCCAAACUUGUGUUUGUUCUUUUUAGUGGGUUUAACAGUAUUUCUUGUUUGCCUUGUCUCUUUUCUUACCUUUAGAGUAUUGUCAGUCGAGACCUUGAUUGAGUUAUAAUGAUUAUGUUAUUAAUAUAUUCUUUUAUGGUAUGGU